GCUGGUUAAUUUCUGUUAUUAAGACUCACAUUCUCUGGUACAUGCUACUGUCACCAGAGUCGACAGCACCUUUUCACUGGCUGAAGACAUUCCUGUACUGGAACACAACACCGCAUUUUUUUUGCACAGCCUUUGUGUUAUAGUUUGAAAACAGAGGCCUUUAUCAGAGAGAAGCCUGACAACAUUUUUCUUUGUAAUCUCACAUCAACAAUCCUCUUUCUUCAAUUUUGAAGGUACUCAGAGAAUGGAAGGGCCAGUAAGGAGGCUGAGCUAAGUCACUGCUACAGGUAGCAAGGAACUGCAUCUCAUUCCUGGUGACAUUGCUGUGGAGAUGCACGAGAGGAACACCAAAAUCCAAACUUGCAGCAGUGCUGUUAAUGGCUGCAAAGAAGUGAAACAUAGCCCAAAAGUACAAAUGAGUUUGUCUCCAGUGGUGCAAAUAUACUCCUAGUCCAACUUCUUCAUUGCAGAGGGAUGUUACAGCCUGCUUUGCCUUGUGUGAGGUUAUUUCUUUACGGACCAUAAAGGUACAAAAUAAUGUACACCAUGAGAGGGACAUUGGCACUCUCUGGAGAUCGUUUUUCCCUACUUGAAGGAUCAUUAUGCUAUAGUAGACUCAUUCCACAAAGUAUUUUUCAGGGAGAGUUCAAAUAUCUUUUCAAAUAUCUGUAUUCUUUAUUUGUGCCCAUCAUAAAGUAAUUAAAACUCAGUUAAUAUGUAGAAUAAAAUGAAGCAGUGUAAUGCUGUGGUUCUGCAGUAAGCCAUAUAAAAUUUGUGAAUGUGGGAUUUCCUGGCAGUUGAAAUUUGAUCUAUAUUGGUGUGAGCACACGACUGCAUUUUUACCAAAUGAGCCCCAGCAUAUGUUACAUUGUUUAUUCAGGGUUUAUGCCAGCUUUCUGUCAAUUGAGCUGGAUAAAUUAUACCUGAUCCAGCACAAAGUUAGAAUGGUACAAACAGACAGUAUCUCAUCUGAUAGGACCUCUCCUGGGACAAAAUUAUUUCUUCAAACUAUUUAGAAUAACACAGAAUGAUAGCCUACCACCCUAAUAUGCUGUAAAUACUGCACAGACUUUAGAAAAAUCUGUUUCAAGUCAAAGCAUGUCUAUACCUGAUUAGCUGUAAAUAGACUGACAAUUUUUUCCUCAGAGGGAAAGAAGGGGAAAAUCACAAAUUCACAUGAUAUUUUACACCUUAGGCAAGUACAGAAACGUUCCAGAAUAUGAUUUGUAUAGAAAUCUUGAGUGUACUCAUGUGUAAAUGUAAAUAAUGAGGUGGGAAAAAAAGAGUCAUAGUGAUAGUUAGAAACAUAAUUCUGGAAAUUAUUUGGUUGAGUUUGGAUCCAUAUUAUCAAAGAAAAGGGAUUUGAUUUUGUGUGUCUCACCAUGUUUGGUCUUUUAAAUAUGUAGCUGAUGUGUCAUAUUAUGGAUCCUUGGCAUUUCAUCCUUAAGCAGAACUGUCAUGACAAUAGUUGUGGGAAGUGAAGAUAGCAAACCAGAACAUAAAGUGUCAACCCGAUGAUUUUUGAGAUCUCCUAAGCUGGAGGGCCAAAUCCAUCAUCUCUUAAAACAAAUGGAUCUGGGAACUUGGAGCAGACCUGGCAAAAGGAUAUGAUGGCAGCUUGGAAUAAACUGAAAGGAGUAUUAUCCCUGACAAACUUGAGGCUGAUGAUUUACAGUCAGGUGCUAAGAGCACUGCUGUUUCUCCAACCCCUGCUCUGGUCCCUGAAUGGCAGGCGAAGUCCCUCACAAACACUGGUAAAGGAUUACUGCUGCCUCAGAUUAUUGACAGUACUUAAAGUUAUGGACCGUAGCCCUGUAACCAGCCAGUGCACAUGCAGGGUUUCAUUUUACUGCCCUAAACAACUUAGGGCUACUCAUGAUUAAACUUCAGGUUCUGGGCAUACACUUCACAUGUUUUAUGUCUGAGCUUUCUGGAUUGGUCACACCCCAGUUUCACAUCCAUGUUGCUGGAAAAGACUACGAAGGCACUGAAGGAUAAAUG